rnacentral:rRNA from 1 species
AGUGAACGCUGGCGGUAGGCCUAACACAUGCAAGUCGAACGGCAGCACAGUAAGAGCUUGCUCUUACGGGUGGCGAGUGGCGGACGGGUGAGGAAUACAUCGGAAUCUACUUUUUCGUGGGGGAUAACGUAGGGAAACUUACGCUAAUACCGCAUACGACCUACGGGUGAAAGCAGGGGAUCUUCGGACCUUGCGCGAUUGAAUGAGCCGAUGUCGGAUUAGCUAGUUGGCGGGGUAAAGGCCCACCAAGGCGACGAUCCGUAGCUGGUCUGAGAGGAUGAUCAGCCACACUGGAACUGAGACACGGUCCAGACUCCUACGGGAGGCAGCAGUGGGGAAUAUUGGACAAUGGGCGCAAGCCUGAUCCAGCCAUACCGCGUGGGUGGAGAAGGCCUUCGGGUUGUAAAGCCCCUUUGUUGGGAAAGAAAAGCAGCAGGUUAAUACCCCGCUGUUCUGACGGUACCCAAAGAAUAAGCACCGGCUAACUUCGUG